GACGAACGCUGGCGGCGUGCCUAAUACAUGCAAGUAGAACGCAGUUGCGAACGGGUGAGUAACGCGUAGGUAACUGCCUCAACGCGGGGGAUAACUAUUGGAAACGAUAGCUAAUACCGCAUACUGUGGGAUGGACCUGCGUUGUAUUAGCUAGUUGGUGAGGUAAAGGCUCACCAAGGCGACGAUACAUAGCCGGCCUGAGAGGGUGGUCCGCCACCAUGGGACUGGAGCACGGGCCAGACUUCUUCGGGAAGGAGCCGGAGGGAAUUCUCGGCCAAGGGCCGAAAGCUGGCCGAGCAAAGCCCGGGGGUUGGAAAAGGGUUUCGGAUCGUAAAGCUCUGUUGUUUGGGAAGCGGUAACUAACCAGAAAGGGACGGCUAACUACGUGCCAGCAGCCGCGGUAAUUC
rnacentral:rRNA from 1 species